AAAGAGGAGGGAUCCUCCCAAAGUCAUACUGAAGGAUAGGAGUAGGAAAUGCUGUAUCAGCCAAGUUGUAGCUGAAAAUGAAGUUGUAUCCUUCCUCUUUGAACUCCAUAGACACAGGUCCAAUAAAUUAGAUACGAUAUUAGAAAUAUUAAAGUAAAUUAGAAUUGAGAAGCUAGAGGCCUAGAAAAGCUUGAGCAACUUUCCGUAUCUAAAUUUAGUCAGUUAUCAAAUUACGGAACGAAAAUUCAAGUCACAUACAAUUUGACCCUUCACACUUGCUCUUAAUUGAUAGAUAAGAGUUCAUUAAUACCUUCACAAGGUAAAGAAUGUUGUUGAUUCACUUUCUACCUUGCUGGCUAAUGCCAUAGCUUGUUUUUCUUGAACUAAAGUGUCUGAAUCUUCUUGUUUCCUGACAUUCGCAGAGGAAUUCAGUUCUACAGUCAGAGUUCUACUAGGAAGUCCUUAUGUGGUCUCUAGAUACUAUGUUUGUGAUGGUCAAAUUUGAACUCCAUGUCGCAAACAAACACUACAUACUGAAAACAAAACAAAAAAAAAAAA
rnacentral:lncRNA from 1 species